UACGUAGGGGGCGAGCGUUGUCCGGAGUUACUGGGCGUAAAGCGCACGCAGGCGGUCUGCUAAGUUUGGAGUGACAGUUGGUGGCUUAACUGCCAAAGUGCUUCGAAAACUGACAGACUUGAGGGCUUCAGAGGGACACGGAAUUCCGGGUGGAGUGGUGAAAUGCGUAGAGAUCCGGAGGAACACCAAAGGCGAAGGCAGUGUCCUGGGGAGUACCUGACGCUCAGGUGCGAAAGCCAGGGGAGCAAACGGG
rnacentral:rRNA from 1 species